UCCCUGGUGGCUCAGACGGUAAAGCGUCUGCCUGCAAUGCAGGAGACCUGGGUUCAAUUCCUGGGUUGGGAA
rnacentral:tRNA from 1 species